UUUCCGUAGGUGAACCAGCGGAAGGAUCAUUAUUGUAUAACCGAGGUGCGAGGCCUGUGGCUGACCCGAAUCGACGUGCACGCCCGAGUGCCCCCACACACAUCCAUCUCACCCCUACGAGCACCACCCCGUGGGUCCCCCUUUGGCUUGUGCGGAGGGGGGCCUACGUUUUCACAGAAUCUAUCAAGAUAGUGUAGAACGUUCUACUUCUGUUCUCGAUGCCGCAACCACUACAACUUUCAACAACGGACCGCUUGGCCCCCGUAUUGAAGAAGAACG
rnacentral:misc_RNA from 1 species